rnacentral:lncRNA from 1 species
UGGUGGAGCCACAUAAAAUCCAUUACAGAGAGUGGAGUAGGGUAGUGGCCAUUGUCGUGACUUGCCAGAGAGUUCGGGCCUGACGGCUAAAGCUCGGUCGGGACGUCUGAUGGAGUGGAAUGGCUCUCUGUCUCAGUAAUCAAGGAGAAGCUCAGAUAUUUUCGAGGUUGCUAACGAGUCUACUGUUGUUGGAUACCUUGGGUGCUGAUGCUACAGACGGGAGUCAUCUGCUGUAGAAGCUCGGACGAAUACUUUUUGUUGGUGAAGUCC